GCCCGCUCACAGGAUGGGGGUGCAGCUCGCCCCGCCACGUCCCGCCGGCUUGCAGCCGCUGCUUUUCCUCUCUGGAAACUCCUUAGCCGCGCCACCUCCGCUUGCACCCUGCCUCCUCCCGGGUACCGCUGCACCCACGCUGAAUCCCCAUCCAAAAUCCAUGAAGGAAUUUAGGAUGCUAAAUCUUGAGACAAACUAAUGGGGGGGGCGGGGCCAGGAUACGGUCCUCAUUUCCCCACUUAAUGAGAAUGCUGGAAGUUUACAGCAGAGAAUGACCUGUUCCAGAUAAAUACAGACUGCAGCAGCCAGCACCCCCUAAGGGGCUUUGUAAUAUACAUCAGAUGUGUGGCCACAUCAGUCCCUGGGAAGUUCAGGGCCCACAGAUGACCCCUCAUCCUCUUCUCCCCACUCCCCCCACGCAGGGUCUUACUUUGUAGCCCCGGCUAUCCUCCUGCCUCAAGAAGCUGAGAAUUUUGUCUUGCUUUCCUUCUUUCCGUUUACGUCCACGUGCGUGUGUAUACAUGGAGCCCAGCCCUGUGCCUCUACAUAUGGGCACUCACUGGGAGGGAAGAGCCCGUCCAGUCCAUCUUCAGUUACGUAUUGGCGUUGACACCUCCUACAUACAAGUCACAAUUGCCAGCCUUGGGGACACAGCAGUGCCCGUCUUCAUUGGUACUUCCAGUCUAGCGAGGAAGCAGAAUAUAAAAUUCCCACAAUGAUUAGUAACUAUUAUGACAAGCUCCGAGAAGUCCCAACUGCAGGCUUGCCCAGCACACAAACAGACCGGAGCUCGAUCCCCAGCACCAACCACACAAAAGCAUCCUUGAACACUGGUCUCCAGGAAGCAUUCCCUUGCACAGCUCUCUCCAACAGGCUGUUGACCCUUGAAUGUUUAUGGAGAAGACAGACUGGGAAAGGCAAAGACUUCAAUCAAAGAGGAAUCAGUGGGAGUCUGGGCAGUCUUUCCUGAGAAGAUGUGAACACAUGUCUGCUUACCCUGCAUAGGGCACCAACGACAGACCAAAGAGACUGGACCCCACAGCUCUGAGUCUUGUUUGUGGCGACAAUUAUGGGAGUUGCUUUUCAGGCGGAUGGGUGCCUCUGGCACUGACUGCUUCAUGAAAAAGCCCACUGCAGUCUGGGUCAGAUGACUCAUCUAAGGGACAUUUCGAGCUCCCUAUGUUACUUGCAACUUUCUUGUGUGUUCUUAUACCUUUCUUAAGAAUUUCCUGAGGCUCCUUGUCUCCCUCACUCCACAAGCAGGGACUGGUCUGCAGCUGGUGGAGCACACCAGGG
rnacentral:lncRNA from 1 species